UACGUAGGGUGCAAGCGUUGUCCGGAAUUAUUGGGCGUAAAGAGCUCGUAGGUGGUUUGUCGCGUUGUCCGUGAAAACUCACAGCUCAACUGUGGGCGUGCGGGCGAUACGGGCAGACUGGAGUACUGCAGGGGAGACUGGAAUUCCUGGUGUAGCGGUGGAAUGCGCAGAUAUCAGGAGGAACACCGGUGGCGAAGGCGGGUCUCUGGGCAGUAACGGACGCUGAGGAGCGAAAGCGUGGGGAGCGAACAGG
rnacentral:rRNA from 1 species